rnacentral:rRNA from 1 species
CCUACGGGGGGCAGCAGUGGGGAAUAUUGCACAAUGGGCGAAAGCCUGAUGCAGCAACGCCGCGUGAAGGAAGACGGUUUUCGGAUUGUAAACUUCUUUUAUAUGGGAAUAAAGUGAGGAACGUGUUCCUUUUUGUAUGUACCAUAUGAAUAAGCAUCGGCUAACUCCGUGCCAGCAGCCGCGGUAAUACGGAGGAUGCGAGCGUUAUCCGGAUUUAUUGGGUUUAAAGGGUGCGUAGGUGGUUAAUUAAGUCAGCGGUGAAAGUUUGUGGCUCAACCAUAAAAUUGCCGUUGAAACUGGUUGACUUGAGUAUAUUUGAGGUAGGCGGAAUGCGUGGUGUAGCGGUGAAAUGCAUAGAUAUCACGCAGAACUCCGAUUGCGAAGGCAGCUUACUAAACUAUAACUGACACUGAAGCACGAAAGCGUGGGGAUCAAACAGGAUUAGAUACCCCUGUAGUC